AGUGGCGUACGGGUGAGUAACACGUGACUAACCUUCCUUCGAGUGGGGAAUAACCUCGGGAAACCAGGGCUAAUACCGCAUAACAUCCUAGAGUGAAACUCUCUUGGAUCAAAGGGGUAAGACGCUUGAAGAGGGGGUCGCGGCUGAUUAGUUAGUUGGCGGGGUAAUGGCCCACCAAGACGAUGAUCAGUAUCCGGCCUGAGAGGGCGCACGGACACACUGGAACUGAAACACGGUCCAG
rnacentral:rRNA from 1 species